rnacentral:lncRNA from 1 species
UUACUCUCAAGCAUAUCCUCCUCCAUAGAGUCAUCACCAGAACUUCUAUCCAAAUUUAAUUUUUCCGAGUAGGUCGUCUCAGCACUGUCAUUUUUAUUACCCAAGUCUACAUUUGUGACAUUCUUGCCAUCUCUCUCAUCAACAGGUGCCUUGUUCUCAGGUGGAUCUUCAACAUCCAUUGGAUGUGAUUCACCACUAAUUGGGACAACAUUACUGGAUGAUGGUUCCACCAUCUCUGGCUUUACAACAUCUAAGUCUAAUUUGACAUUAUCAGCAAGUAUAUUAUCCUUUAAUUCAAUCUUUUCAUUAUUUGAGACAGAAUCAGUAGAUAUAGAAUCAGAUUUUACUUGCAACCCUAAAUCAGGGCUGACCUCAGAUACCUGGAUGUUCGGAGCAGAAGAAUCAUGCACAUCAUCCUCGUGUGGAACCUUCAAACCCUCGUUCUCCAGCUGCACCUUCGAAUCUUCAAUGUCCAGCUGAGGCUUUGAAUCAUCACUCUCCAGCUGAGGAUUUGAACCCUGCAGUUCGCCCUUUGGAUCAUCAUUCUCCACCUCAGGCUUUGGAUCAUCAGUCUCGAACUGGAGCUUAGGAUCCUCACCCUCCACUUUGAUAUCAGUAUUCACAUUCUCAUUUUGCCCUGAGCUCUCUUUCUCAGUAGAUGGUACCUCACAUACCACAUUCUUGGUAACCGUUAUCUCAGUCUGAAUAGUGGUGGUUUCAGAAACAAGCUCCUUUUCCACCAAGCUGUCGCUUCCUUGAACUCCUUCAUGACCCAAAGCAGCUGCACUCUCAUUAAUGUCAACAUGAACCUUCACCCCACUCUCCUUCUCAAUCUCACGGCCACUAUGAUCCACAUCAUCUUUAACUGUCUCAACAAUAACUGGAAUUGCCUUUUCAAUCCCUCGCUCAUCUGUAGGCUGGGGAUCAGAAUUAAAACCAUUAUCUUCCUCAGUUUCACCAUUUUCCCUUUCCAAUCUAACGGCCUCAUCCAAACGUCUUACCAACUCCUCUUUCAAGCCCCGAGUUGUCAGUUUCCGCCUCUUAAGUUCUUCUUUCAACUCUGUAACCUUCCAUUGAUCAAUUGGUCUAUUGUCAAGUAUUUGAUAUUUUGAUGACAUCUUUUCCAACCCAAACUCACCUUCAAACCUACUAGAAAAGGUCACAUUUCUCAGUCAUUCACCAAAAAAGCCAAACAAAAAAGAUUCUAGUAAAACAUGUGCAGUAGAAAGAAAGCGCCAACAAGACCAAAGAAAGCAUGUUAUACUGCAAAAUAAAGUUAAAUCGUGCUUAUAAGGUAGAAGAAAUAAAGGAGCUGAAGGAAUGAUAUAUAGCUGUUUAAACAAUUUGAAUAAAUGCAGCAAAGCCAAUAAAAUAAUUCCAGGAAAUUAACCCAGAAGAAUAGCAAAUCUUCAUGUAAAAUAUAGAAAAGGAAAGCAAUGAAGUAUUUAGUUAACACAAAACCUGACACCACAAAACGAGGGUUUAAAAAAAACCCCUUAUGUGCCUGGACAAAGAAUAUAUACAAGAAAGCUCCCCUUUCUCCCAAAAAGCACAAAUACGAACAAAAUAAGGCAUAAAAAACAGUAAAUACAUUUCCAGCCCAAAUUUUUUCUUUAUCCUAGCUUCGGUAAUGAAAAAUAAAUUCAUAACCAGCAAGAAACGAAAUGCCGAUUUAACAAGAAACUAAUGAACUGAAACAAUCGCACCCAAAACUAAUCGUAUUUAUAAAAAAAAAUUGUAAUAACACCCAUUAAAAAUGCAUGCAGAGAGGAAAGAAAUAGAGAUUACUCACAGGCCUAUAUAUUUGGGAAGCCACUACAACCACACUUCCCUUACAGGAGAAUUGAAAUUUUAUCCCAAAACUACCCUAAUUUCAACAGACAAAACCCACCAUUAGCGCAAACCCUAGUUUUCAACAAAGAGAAAGUUAUCGAAAAUAAGGAAAAAUUAGAAGAAAAAACAAAAUAAAAAAAAAGUAAAUGGAAAAUAGAAAAUGAAUUUUAUGAGAGCGGUGGAUGAGCAAUUGAUUUUUAUUUUUUGGCUGUUGUGAAUAUAAUAUAACCUGGUUGUUCUUUUCUUUUUAGGAUUUUGAGAGAGAAAAUGGGGAGAAAAUUGAAACAAUGGUGAAAUUAGGGUUUUAAAAAAACCAUUUGCCUCUGUCGUAUUAUCGAAUCCAAAAAGGCAGAGACCAAUUGUUCUAGAAAAACCCAUUUUGGUUUUAUUCAAAUGCCUAAAUUGCCCUUCUUGAUCGUUUUUUCAUCAUAAUUGAGGUGGCAUAAAGGAUUUCAAAAUUAUAAAAUGGAUCUACUUUUUUGGUAAAUACUUUAAAUUUUAUGUAUAAUUAAAAAAAAAAGUAAUAACUCAAUUUCUUUUAAAACAACAUUAUCAAUAUUUAAAAUAUAUGUAAAAUAUUUAAAAUGACAUUUAAUAGGCUAAAUUUGAUUAAUAUGCCCAGGUUUUUUUUCAAUUUGACCUUUAGAUCUAUUUAAAAUUAAUUAAGAAAAUAUAUCGUUUUUAGGAAAGAGAAAGUGAAAACUUGUCCAACUGGGUGCAUUUUCUGCACAGAUAGUAGGCCCCUUGCAUGAGAGACGCAUGCAAGAAUCCGACCUCUUACCGGUAUCCAUAAAUUUCAGGGAUCGGAGGCUCCCCGUCUAUUUAUAACAUAAAAAAAAUAUUUAGACUUAUAAAAAAAAUAUUAACAUAAUUAAAAAAAUGAAAUUUUAAAUUUCGUCUUACCAUUGCUAAUUGGGCAGUAAAAAUAUGGUUGUCGUCGAAGCAAAUUAGAGAGGUGUCCAUUUUCAAGAAAUUGACCCGAAUGAAUAAAAUUCAAUAUAAUUAAAAAAUAAUAUUUUAAAUGAAAAUAUAAAUAAAUAUUGAAUAAGAAGCUUGAGAGAAUUGAGAGAAGAAUGUGAAUGAAAAAAAUGAAAAUUGGGAGGUAUUUAUAAGUUAAAAAAAAUUUAUUGUUGGGAGAUUUUAAAUUUUUUUUUGACAAUUUCUUUUGAUCGUUUGGCGCAGCAACGAUCAAAAAACCAUUGUAUUUUACCGUUGAAAGAAAGCACGCCCAGCUAAACACACUUUCACUUUCUCCCUCCUAAAAAUGGCCUAUUUCCAUAAUUAAUUUUAAAACUAACCUAAAGUCUAAAUUAAAAAAAGCCCAGCAUAUUAAUCAAAUUUAGCCCAUUUAAUAUGACUCUUAUUUGUGCAAAAACUUUAAAGUGGGACAAAAUUUACCAUUAUAAUUAUAAAUAUAAUUACAUCCAUAUUAAAUAUUUUUAUAAUUUGUGAAAUUUUAAUAAUUUAUUUUUUCAUAAAUGUAUUUAUCAAUUAUAAACACUAACAUUUUGAACUGUUAAUACUUUAAAAAUCUUCAUCUAAUAGUUUUAGGUUUUUGCCUUAAAAUAAAAUCUAAUCUCAUACGAAGCUCAAUCCAAGGUAUGAGAUGAAGAGAAGAACCUCAAUCAUCAGGUUCAAAGCACGUUGCACAUACAUAAAUAAAUGAUAAAAACCCUGGAUGAAACUACACAUACUUAUAACGAGUAAGCCUACAUUCCCUUUUAACAAAUCUAUGUAAAAUUAACAUCCAGAGUAAAAGUUAAAUUCUACAAAAUCAGGUUCAUAAGAGUUGAGGCUAUUGUUCUGUAGGAAAACCAAAUUAGAACAAAGGAUAAUCGAUCCAUUACUACAGAGAGAUCUCAGUUUUGAAGGAUUUUAGUGCUAAAUGGAACUUGAACUCAAGCCCACAAGUAGCCGGCAGAAAAACCAAUACCCAUCACUGGACAAGUUCCCUCUGCACGGCUGCAACAAUUCCUUCCUAUAAAGCAAAACCUGCAGACCUGCAAACAUGCAAUUAUGUGACAGUUCUCUUACCAUUAACUAACGUACAGACCAACCGAUAUGAAAACCAGAAGAGCAGCCAGGGAUAAAACUAUAGCCUCAGCUCUACUGCUAGAUGUUUCUGCCAUGUGCUGCUUGCUUUGCUGCAACUUGUUCAUCUGACAAAGGCAAAUAGUAGAUACGAGGAAUUGCUUUGGUUUUCCAAAAUAGAUCAUCCAGAGUGACAAUAGGAGGAUCUACUUUCUCUGCCGGUGGCGGAGGAAGAGGGAGCCGUUCUCUAACUGGUGGAGGGUUAGACAAAGGCGGUGGAGGAAGUGCAGAAGGUGGUGGAUGCUGCUGUCUAGAAACCUGCUGACGUGGAGAGGGCUGGGGCUGAGAAGCAGGUUGAGCUUGAGGAGCAGUAGAACCAGAAGUCCCAGGAGUAGUUGGAGUCUGUGGUGGAGCAUCAAGCCGGGUUUUAACUUUCUGGGGAUCAACAAAGUCAGCCACCAAUAGGCGUCCACCAUUAGGUGGCCAUUGAAGGUUGUAAACAGCAUUUCUUGUCUCUAUUGCUUCUUCUACAGAUGAAUACUGCACCAAUAAAGCAAUUCCCAAAGCUGAUUAGAUAUAUUGAAUCAGUCCAACAAUAAAAAGCCAAAAUGAAUAAUUGAUCAUAGACCACGAAAGUCCCAUCGGAGGAGAUGGAAACAAAGCAAUAAGUCUUACUGUAACAUAGCAAUGGGUCUUAAUAUGGUCCAUCCAGAAGCUUGUUACAGUCCCAGUUUUCCCUAGAAGUUCUUGUACAGCUUUCAAGGUAAAAGGGCGAAGAAAAUGAUCAAUUCUGAGGGAAUUGGUUGGAGCAUUUUGUGAAGGGGGAACUGCCAAAUAAGAUGAAACGUAAACCAUUCAGAUGUUAAAACAACAAUCAGUAGAAUUCAAUUCGUAUCAGCUGACUGAGAGAUGACAACUCACCAACUCGUUCCUUUGGUGUACCUUCACUUGCCGUUGAGUCUGAUCUAGAGAAGUUACGUCUCAAAGCAGCAGGCUGAGGGGUGUCUUUAGGUGUUGUGGUGGGCGCAAGAUUGCCUUGAUGUUCUGGAACUUUUAUAUUGUCAGAAUUCCAUUUGCGCCGUUUAGAAAGCUCAUUAUUCCCAACAGGUUCCUGAUCUGUAUAGACAGCUCGUCAGGUGACAAUCACCAUUCACCCACAAGGGAACUAUUAAUUUCAUUCUCACGACUGAUCAAAAUUCUAAAAUGUAUUCCCUUGGUAACAGAGAAAGCUCAAUAUUAAAAAUACCAAUAAUUUUGUUGUCUAAGGCUCCAGGUAGUCACAGGAACCAAUAAAAGGAUUAAAAAUGAACAACAAAGCAAUUUCUAGCCGAAAACUAUAUACAUCAUCUUCAAAACCAAAGCUGCAGCACUCUAAAGUAAAGCUCUUCCAAAUCAUGCACCAUCCAUGGAAAAAUAGUGAAUACACUAUCAAAUACACAAGAAUUUAAAACAAUAUUAUCACAUUCCACAAGUGCAACUGAAGCAGAUCAAGUUUCAAAAAACCAAUUUAAAUUAUUUGUCUUAAGAAUUACCGUUAAGUACAUGCACUACUAUCCAAUCACCUUAGCUUCAGAAUGUUAUCAGUAAGGUAAAAGUAUGCACACAUGCAAAGAAAGACAGUAACAAUUACAGGCCAUUUUCACUUACCAUGAAGCUUUCUUUUCUCAGCAGGAACAAAAGACCGGCUCUUAUUCUCAACCAAGGUGUCCUUUUUAUCUAUAGAUAAAUCAUCUCUAAAAACACCAACAGGACUUUUCUCCUUGACAAUAGGUGCUCUAUUCUUCUCACUCUUAUCUCCCAUUUCAUCAGUACUACAUUUUGAAUCAAUUUGUUUACUCUCAAGCACAUCCUCCUCCAUAGAGUCAUCACCAGAACUUCUAUCCAAAUUUAAUUUUUCUGAGAACGCCAUCUCAGCACUGUCAUUUUUAUUACUGAUGUCUACAUUUGUAACAUUCUUGUCAUCUCUCUCAUCAACAGGUGCCUUGUUCUCAGGCGGAUCUUCAACAUCCAUUGGAUGUGAUUCACCACUAAAUGGGACAACAUUGCUGGAUGAUGGUUCCACCAUCUCUGGCUUUACAACAUCUAGGUCUAAUUUGACAUUAUCAGCAAGUAUAUUAUCCUUUAAUUCAAUCUUUUCAUUAUUUGAGACAGAAUCAGUAGAAAUAGAAUCAGAUUUUACUUGA